AAUGAACGCUGGCGGCAUGCCUUACACAUGCGAGUCGAACGGCAGCAUGACCUAGCUUGCUAGGUUGAUGGCGAGUGGCGAACGGGUGAGUAAUGCAUCGGAACGUGCCUUUUAGUGGGGGAUAACGUAGCGAAAGUUACGCUAAUACCGCAUAUUCUCUGAGGAGGAAAGCAGGGGACCUUCGGGCCUUGCGCUAGAAGAGCGGCCGAUGUCGGAUUAGCUAGUUGGUGAGGUAAAGGCUCACCAAGGCAACGAUCCGUAGCGGGUCUGAGAGGAUGAUCCGCCACACUGGGACUGAGACACGGCCCAGACUCCUACGGGAGGCAGCAGUGGGGAAUUUUGGACAAUGGGCGCAAGCCUGAUCCAGCCAUGCCGCGUGAGUGAAGAAGGCCUUCGGGUUGUAAAGCUCUUUCGGCUGGGAAGAAAUCGCACCCUCUAAUACAGGGUGUGGAUGACGGUACCAGCAUAAGAAGCACCGGCUAACUACGUG
rnacentral:rRNA from 1 species